UAUUAAAGGUCCCGCCUGCCCAGUGAAUUUUUUUAACGGCCGCGGUAUUCUAACCGUGCAAAGGUAGCGUAAUCACUUGUCUUCUAAAUAAAGACCAGUAUGAACGGCUAAAUGAGGACAAACCUGUCUCUUUCAACUAAUCAGUGAAACUGAUCUACCAGUACAAAAGCUGGUAUUUUAACAUAAGACGAGAAGACCCUGUGGAGCUUAAAACAAACCACUAACACACACUAGUGAUAAGUCUUAAGUUGGGGCGACUUCGGAACAAAACAAAACUUCCGAGCACGGAUCCAUAACAUCCCACCAAGGCCCACAAGCCAAAGUACUUCACCCUGACCCGGCACCAUGCCGAACAACGAACCAAGUUACCCCAGGGAUAACAGCGCCAUCUUCUUCAAGAGUCCAUAUCGACAAGAAGGUUUACGACCUCGAUGUUGGAUCAGGACACCCAAGUGGUGCAGCCGCUACUAAUGGUUCGUUUGUUCAACGAUUAACAGUCCUACGUGAUCUGAGUUCAGACCGGAG
rnacentral:rRNA from 1 species